GCGUCCAUCAUCUAGAGGCCUAGGAUCCCGGGUUGUGAUCCCGGCAACAUGGGUUCGAAUCCCAUUGGACGCCCCA
rnacentral:tRNA from 1 species